rnacentral:rRNA from 1 species
GACGAACGCUGGCGGCGUGCCUAAUACAUGCAAGUAGAACGCUGAAGAGAGGAGCUUGCUCUUCUUGGAUGAGUUGCGAACGGGUGGGUAACGCGUAGGUAACCUGCCUUGUAGCGGGGGAUAACUAUUGGAAACGAUAGCUAAUACCGCAUAACAAUGGAUGACACAUGUCAUUUAUUUGAAAGGGGCAAUUGCUCCACUACAAGAUGGACCUGCGUUGUAUUAGCUAGUAGGUGAGGUAACGGCUCACCUAGGCGACGAUACAUAGCCGACCUGAGAGGGUGAUCGGCCACACUGGGACUGAGACACGGCCCAGACUCCUACGGGAGGCAGCAGUAGGGAAUCUUCGGCAAUGGGGGCAACCCUGACCGAGCAACGCCGCGUGAGUGAAGAAGGUUUUCGGAUCGUAAAGCUCUGUUGUAAGUCAAGAACGAGUGUGAGAGUGGAAAGUUCACACUGUGACGGUAGCUUACCAGAAAGGGACGGCUAACUACGCGCCAGCAGCCGCGGUAAUACGUAGGUCCCGAGCGUUGUCCGGAUUUAUUGGGCGUAAAGCGAGCGCAGGCGGUUUGAUGAGUCUGAAGUUAAAGGCUGUGGCUCAACCAUAGUUCGCUUUGGAAACUGUCAAACUUGAGUGCAGAAGGGGAGAGUGGAAUUCCAUGUGUAGCGGUGAAAUGCGUAGAUAUAUGGAGGAACACCGGUGGCGAAAGCGGCUCUCUGGUCUGUAACUGACGCUGAGGCUCGAAAGCGUGGGGAGCGAACAGG